rnacentral:rRNA from 1 species
UCCUGGCUCAGAUUGAACGCUGGCGGCAUGCUUUACACAUGCAAGUCGAACGGGCUUGGGGGCUUGCUCCCAAGUUAGUGGCGAACGGGUGAGUAAUACAUCGGAACGUACCGUGUAGUGGGGGAUAACGUAGCGAAAGUUACGCUAAUACCGCAUACGAUCCACGGAUGAAAGCAGGGGACCUUCGGGCCUUGUGCUAUACGAGCGGCCGAUGUCUGAUUAGCUAGUUGGUGAGGUAAAGGCUCACCAAGGCGACGAUCAGUAGCGGGUCUGAGAGGAUGAUCCGCCACACUGGGACUGAGACACGGCCCAGACUCCUACGGGAGGCAGCAGUGGGGAAUUUUGGACAAUGGGCGCAAGCCUGAUCCAGCCAUGCCGCGUGUCUGAAGAAGGCCUCGGUGUAA